rnacentral:rRNA from 1 species
UACGGAGGGGACUAGCGUUGUUCGGAAUUACUGGGCGUAAAGCGCACGUAGGCGGAUUUGUAAGUCAGGGGUGAAAUCCCGGGGCUCAACCUCGGAACUGCCUUUGAUACUGCAAUCUCGAGUCCGGAAGAGGUGAGUGGAAUUCCUAGUGUAGAGGUGAAAUUCGUAGAUAUUAGGAAGAACACCAGUGGCGAAGGCGGCUCACUGGUCCGGUACUGACGCUGAGGUGCGAAAGCGUGGGAGCAA